rnacentral:rRNA from 1 species
UCUUUCUUUGCUGGCGACCGGCGCACGGGUGAGUAACACGUAUCCAACCUGCCCUUUACUCGGGGAUAGCCUUUCGAAAGAAAGAUUAAUACCCGAUAGCAUAAUGAUUCCGCAUGGUUUCAUUAUUAAAGGAUUCCGGUAAAGGAUAGGGAUGCGUUCCAUUAGGUUGUUGGUGAGGUAACGGCCCACCAAGCCUUCGAUGGAUAGGGGUUCUGAGAGGAAGGUCCCCCACAUUGGAACUGAGACACGGUCCAA